AACGUAGGUUCCGAGCGUUAUCCGGAUUUACUGGGCGUAAAGCGCGUUCAGGCGGUUUGGCAAGUCGGGCAUGAAAUCUCUCGGCUCAACCGGGAGAGGUUGUCCGAUACUGCUGGACUUGAGGGCAGUAGAGGGUGGUGGAAUUCCGGGUGUAGUGGUGAAAUGCGUAGAGAUCAGGAGGAACACCGGUGGCGAAGGCGGGUCUCUGGGCCGAUACUGACGCUGAGGAGCGAAAGCGUGGGGAGCGAACAGG
rnacentral:rRNA from 1 species